GUUACUUUGGCAGAAUAAGUGUAUUAAAUUUAGAAUUUAAUUAUAAAAAUAAUUUUUUUAAGUAAUA
rnacentral:tRNA from 1 species